rnacentral:rRNA from 1 species
UACGUAGGGUGCAAGCGUUAAUCGGAAUUACUGGGCGUAAAGCGUGCGCAGGCGGUUUUGUAAGUCUGUCGUGAAAUCCCCGGGCUCAACCUGGGAAUGGCAUUUGGGACUGCAAGGCUGGAGUUUGGCAGAGGAGACUGGAAUUCCCGGUGUAGCAGUGAAAUGCGUAGAUAUCGGGAGGAAUACCGAUGGCGAAGGCAGGUCUCUGGGCCUUACCUGACACUGAGGAGCGAAAGCGUGGGGAGCGAACAGG